UAUUUCCUUUCUGGCCUUUCU
rnacentral:piRNA from 1 species